rnacentral:rRNA from 1 species
GAAGCUUCUAGCUUGCUAGAGUGCUGAUUAGUGGCGCACGGGUGAGUAACGCAUAGGUCAUGUGCCUCUUAGUUUGGGAUAGCCAUUGGAAACGAUGAUUAAUACCAGAUACUCCCUACGGGGGAAAGAUUUAUCGCUAAGAGAUCAGCCUAUGUCCUAUCAGCUUGUUGGUAAGGUAAUGGCUUACCAAGGCUAUGACGGGUAUCCGGCCUGAGAGGGUGAACGGACACACUGGAACUGAGACACGGUCCAGACUCCUACGGGAGGCAGCAGUAGGGAAUAUUGCUCAAUGGGGGAAACCCUGAAGCAGCAACGCCGCGUGGAGGAUGAAGGUUUUAGGAUUGUAAACUCCUUUUGUUAGAGAAGAUAAUGACGGUAUCUAACGAAUAAGCACCGGCUAACUCCGUGCCAGCAGCCGCGGUAAUACGGAGGGUGCAAGCGUUACUCGGAAUCACUGGGCGUAAAGAGCGCGUAGGCGGGAUAGUCAGUCAGGUGUGAAAUCCUAUGGCUUAACCAUAGAACUGCAUUUGAAACUACUAUUCUAGAGUGUGGGAGAGGUAGGUGGAAUUCUUGGUGUAGGGGUAAAAUCCGUAGAGAUCAAGAGGAAUACUCAUUGCGAAGGCGACCUGCUGGAACAUUACUGACGCUGAUUGCGCGAAAGCGUGGGGAGCAAACAGGAUUAGAUACCCUGGUAGUCCACGCCCUAAACGAUGGAUGCUAGUUGUUGGAGGGCUUAGUCUCUCCAGUAAUGCAGCUAACGCAUUAAGCAUCCCGCCUGGGGAGUACGGUCGCAAGAUUAAAACUCAAAGGAAUAGACGGGGACCCGCACAAGCGGUGGAGCAUGUGGUUUAAUUCGAAGAUACACGAAGAACCUUACCUAGGCUUGACAUUGAGAGAAUCCGCUAGAAAUAGUGGAGUGUCUAGCUUGCUAGACCUUGAAAACAGGUGCUGCACGGCUGUCGUCAGCUCGUGUCGUGAGA